CCUGAGGUGUCUAACCUUC
rnacentral:siRNA from 1 species